rnacentral:rRNA from 1 species
AUUGAACGCUGGCGGCAGGCCUAACACAUGCAAGUCGAACGAGUGGCGGACGGGUGAGUAAUGUCUGGGAAACUGCCUGAUGGAGGGGGAUAACUACUGGAAACGGUAGCUAAUACCGCAUACCAUCAGAUGUGCCCAGAUGGGAUUAGCUUGUUGGUGGGGUAACGGCUCACCAAGGCGACGAUGCCUAGCUGGUCUGAGAGGAUGACCAGCCACACGGGAACUGAGCAACGGUCACGACUCCUACGCGAGGCAGCAGUGGGGAAGAUUGCACAAGGGGCGCAGGCCUGAUGCAGCCAUGCCGCGGGUAGGAAGAAGGCCUUCGGGUUGUAAAGUACUUUCAGCGGGGAGGCGUUACCCGCAGAAGAAGCACCGGCUAACUCCGUGCCAGCAGCCGCGGUAAUUC